GCCAAUGAUUGGGGCGCAUUCGAAGUUGUAUUCCUUACGCAAAGCAAUCAUUCAAAAUCUAUCUCCCAUUUCCUCUAUAUAUUUUUCUCUCUCUCUCUGCUCUCAGUUUCUCAUUAUAAUCAGAGCUGAGUGAAUGUCUCUCCCUCCAAAAAAAGCAUUACUACAUAGAUCAAGCUCCCCCCAGAGAAUUCUUUGCCAACAGUUUUGUUUUGAAGACAGUGAAUUUAGAGCCAAUCAAGGCUCUCUCUGAGAUGUAUAUCAUAUUUUUUUGUCUUCUUCUUUUCGACGGCGACAAAGUUGUUGAAGAAGGUGACUGGGAAAAGGAGAGAUAAAAUCAACGAAAUCCCAUAUACCAAAAAGGAUUUCUUUUCUUUUCUUUUCAUUUUUCAUUUGAAAAUCAAAGUGUUAAUUUCUUCAGUUAUAGUAGAUACGAUACUUUUAACGAUAGACUAUUCAAAUUCAAAACGGUAUUAAUAUGGCUAUCUCUAGCUUAGAGCAAAGCGAGGUGGAGUUUGUGAAGUGCCAUUGCUGUGGACUAACUGAGGAGUGUACUCUGGACUAUAUUGCUCGUGUGAGGGAGAGGUACCAAGGUCGAUGGAUAUGUGGGCUAUGUGCUGAGGCAGUGAAAGAUGAGUCUUUUAGAUUGCAGAGAGAUGUGAGUAUUGAUGAGGCACUCAAAAGCCAUGAGAAGUUUUGUGAGCAGAGUUCAAGUCCACCCACUAAUCCUACAGAAGAUUUGAUUGUUGCAAUGAAACAGCUUCUUCGGCGGACCUUAGAUUCUCCUAAGAAAGAAGGGUUGGGAAGCUGUGGACCGUUUCUUCGAUCCAAGAGUUGCUUUUCUAGUUUUUCAGACACAAAAGAAUGAUUGAAGAUCAAAAUGUUUCAGUAAUUGUGGGCAAACUGCAAAGUGGUGAGCCAGAUUAUAUUAGAUUCGAUUAGUGCUUAUUACCUAAAGUUUUAGCUUGGUUUGUCUAAUGGCAUUGCUAUUCACUUAGGGGGGAAAAACUAGGGUCUUUCUCUUUCUAGUGGGUUAUUUUGCAUUUUACAUUUUGAUUGAACGAAUGAAAGUAGAAGGAUCUUUCUUCCUGGAUGAAUUUUAGUACCUAAAUGCUUAGAUCGUUGCAUAAGCAUGUCUUUUUAGAGCUUUGGUGAUGGGGCUCCAUUGUAAGGACUCGAAUAAAAUUUUCAUGGGAUUCAUUUA